UUCUUGGAAGAUUUAAAGAAUUAAUGGAAUCAAGGCUUGUGAAAGGUAAAGAGUUCUGAAGCCAGGACAAGCAGCCUUUCGGGUUGCUCUUGCCUCUGCCCCAUGUCCUUCCCAUAGCAAGCAGGUCGAGGCAUGUCUUCUCUCAUGCCCUACAGGGCUCCGGACUCUGGGGCCACAUACAACAAACCCUUUCAGCCUCUUAGAAGCUCUAAAGGGCAGGCGUGAGGUCUACACCUGUUUCAAGGAAGGUGGCCUUGAUCCUCCCCAAAUGUCUGUCACUGCCAAUAGUGUUCUCACAUUUCUCAAGCAUACCUCCUUAGCUUAUAGUCACAUUGCUCAUCCCAGCAGCCCUGCCUGGGCCCCAAGCCCCUGGAGACAUAAAGAGAACAAUAAUGUUUAAAAAAAUAAUAAUAAGAGAGACACUCCACUCAGUCCUCACCAACCUAAAAGGAUGCAGGAAGAUGGAGCCAGGACCCUUCAGGCACAAGGAUAACUAGGGGAUGGGAUCUGAGUGUUUGGACCAGAGCCUGGGUGUGGGCUGCUCCAUGCACUACAGUCAGAGGUAUCUUCCAUUUAUUUUCAGCUCGGAAUGAACAAGAAGAACAGGAGGAGAAGCGGGAAAUCAAGAGGAGGCUGACUCGCAAGGUAAGGCGGUCCCCCUUCCCCGGAGCUGCUUGCCCGCCAUACGUUGGCUUCUAGCAGCCUUGAGGACUUUGAAGGCCCUUGACCACAGCUCUCAAGACUCAGAGUCUCACACCUUUCUUGGAGAUAAUGGUCAACUCACCUAUAAGUCCCAGGCUAUCCCAACUUUUUAGGCACCGGUGGGUACUAGGAACACAUAUGAUAUACAGAUACAAUAUGCCUAUAUAUAUAUAAAGUAAAUGAGUUAAAAAUAGUCUUAAAAAAACAGAUUUAUGUAUUUUAACUCCACCACACUAUUGGAAACUCAUUAUAAAAAUUAGUGGUUCAACCAAAUAUAAGAUUGACAAGGAACAGUGGCACAGACAUGCCUUUAGUCUCAGCACUUGGGAGGCAGAAGCAGAAAGGUUUCUGUGAGUUCAAGGCCAGCCAGAGUUCUAGAUUAGUGAGUGCUGUACAUAGUGCAACCCUGUCUCAAGG
rnacentral:lncRNA from 1 species